rnacentral:rRNA from 1 species
GACGAACCGAGCGAACGUUGUUCGGAAUCACUGGGCUUAAAGGGCGCGUAGGCGGGCUGCCGCGUCCGGGGUGAAAUCCCACGGCUCAACCGUGGAACGGCCUCGGAUACGGGCGGCCUCGAGGGGGGGUAGGGGCAUCUGGAACUGUGAGUGGAGCGGUGAAAUGCGUUGAUAUUCACAGGAACUCCGGUGGCGAAGGCGAGGUGCUGGACCCCAUCGUG